ensembl:snRNA U6 U6 spliceosomal RNA
GUGCUUGUUUUAGCAGCACAUAUUCUAAAAUUAUAAUGAUACAGAGAAGAUCAGCAUGACCCUGCUAAGGAUGACAUGCAAAGUUGUGAAGCAUUCCAUAUUUUU